rnacentral:tRNA from 1 species
CCAGUAGUAUAUGGUUAGAAUAGAUCCUUGACACGGAUCAGAGGCCAGUUCGAUUCUGCGCCUGGGACA